AUUCCGGUAUGAGUAGCGAAAGAUAGGUGAGAAUCCUAUCCACCGAAUGAGUAAGGUUUCCCCCGGAAGGCUCGUCCGCGGGGGGUUAGUCGGGACCUAAGGCGAGGCUGAAAAGCGUAGUCGAUGGACAACAGGUUGAUAUUCCUGUACCGAUAUUUAAUUGCCGAAGGAAGGACGCAGAAGGAUAACACAGGCCACUAUUGGAUGUGGUUUUAAACAGUUAGUCUUCAUAAGAGUCAAAUGCUUUUAUGUUUAAGGAUAAGCUGUGAAUGUACCAAGUUUACUUGGGAAUUGUGUGAUUUCACGCUGCUGAAAAAAGUUUCGUAGGAAGAAAAUAUUGCCCGUACCGCAAACCGACACAGGUACUCGAGUGGAGAACACUAAGGUGAGCGAGUGAACUAUUGUUAAGGAACUCUGCAAAAUGAGUCCGUAACUUCGGAAGAAGGACUGCUGGUUUUAUACCAGCCGCAGCAAAUAGGCCCAAACAACUGUUUAUCAAAAA
rnacentral:rRNA from 1 species